GAUGAACGCUGGCGGCGUGCUUAACACAUGCAAGUCGAGCGGAAAGACGAUGCGCUUGUUCCUCGCACGUUAGCGGAGGGCGGGAGAGUAACGCGUGGAUCCCCUCCUUGUGAGACUGGGAGCACUUCGGGAAACCGGAGCGAAUAGCGGAUGAUAUAUUGAACCGCAGGGGUCAAUAGUGAAUGACGGCUUUGGUGUCUCGUCUCGCUGGAUCCAGGCCGGAUUAGCGGGUUGGUAAGGUCACGGCCUACCAAGGCAACGCUGCGUAGCCGACGUGAGAGGGUGAUCGGCCACACUGGAACGUAGACAGGGUCCAGACUCCUACGGGAGGCAGCAGUAGGGAAUCGUCCGCAAUGGGCGAAAGCUUGACGGAGCAACGCCGAGUGAGUGAUGAAGGUCUUCGGAUCGUAAAACUCUGUUAUGAGGGAAGAACAAAUGUGUACGUAACCAUGCACGUCUUGACGGUACCUAAUCAGAAAGCCCCGGCUAACUACGUG
rnacentral:rRNA from 1 species